UACGAAGGGGGCUAGCGUUGCUCGGAAUUACUGGGCGUAAAGGGCGCGUAGGCGGACAGUUUAGUCAGAGGUGAAAGCCCAGGGCUCAACCUUGGAAUUGUCUUUGAUACUGGCUGUCUUGAGUUCGGGAGAGGUGAGUGGAAUGCCGAGUGUAGAGGUGAAAUUCGUAGAUAUUCGGCGGAACACCAGUGGCGAAGGCGACUCACUGGCCCGAUACUGACGCUGAGGCGCGAAAGCGUGGGGAGCAAACAGG
rnacentral:rRNA from 1 species